GCCUCAGGAGGGAUAAGGGCAUCGCCUCUUUUUCUUGAAGGACACUCCCUUCUGAUGGUGAAUGGGAACUCCCUUCCUCCUGCCACAGCCGGCCUGCAGCCUCUGGAUAGUACUGUGAAUGCUGAAGCAGCUUCACUGCUCUGAAGGAAGGCGCCCCAGAGCC
rnacentral:other from 1 species